CAGGAGGAGAGGGGCCCAGGGAGAGCACUGUGGGGCACCGCACGAGUGAGCGGCUUCUGCCAGGCUCGUUGGAGGGACGUGCGCGGCACGUUCCGUGGAAAGAUGAGGUGAAAAGAGUUGAGCAGGCAGAGGCCGCUCUGCUGGGACAACUAGCCAUGAGGAGGACACUUGCUCCUUGUCUGGAUCUUAGGUUCUUCCUUGAGGAUUCUAACGGGAACCCGAGGAGGGAGCGGAGAGGGGAGAGGAUGUUGAGUGGAUAACUCACUAUUAUUAUUAUUAUUAUUAUUACUGCACAGCGGAAGGGGUUCAUUCGCUGGAUUGGAAUAAAAGGUUGCACUAUUUGGCCCUUCAGACACAAACCCCUGGACUUGAGGGGGCCUGAAGUUUUAUAUAUACACAUAUAUACUACGUGUAUAUUUACAUAUAUGUAUAUAGAAUAUAUAUAUAAUUUAUAUAUAUUAUAAAAUAAUAUAUAUUAUUUAUAUACAUUUUUUUUUCUAGCACACAGUGCCUGCCAAGCCCUGACCGGGUACAGAGAAGGUAAGACAAAUAGGAUGUGCCCUGGCACUGAGCACCCAAGGGCGGGUCCCCCCACCAGCCCCCCAGGCUUUGGCCAUCCCUUUGUCACACGUGGCAGAGACCGAACAAGGGUGCAAAAUAAGGGCUUGUAGAAGAAAAGGGAUCUGUUGGUGAGCAGACCCCACUCAGAAGAGAGGGAGAGAGUGGCUGGCACGACACGGGGUCAGCAAUCCGGGGAGUCCCAACCCACUUCCUACCCUAGGAAACUUGGGGCUCUGGAACCAACCCACCUGACCCUUCUCCCUCAGCACUGGCUCAGGCCCAGAAAUAAAUUCACAGUGAGCCUCAUGGGGGCUCAAGACCCCUUUGACCAAAAGAGGGCUCUCUGCCUGGCCUGGGCCAUGACAAACCAGCACUCCCUCCUUAGAGUCAAGGUCAGAGCUUCUGUUAAAAAGGACCAUGCGACCUGGGAUAAAGCGGCUAAUAUUAUUAACUCACCACCUGUCCCUGGAUCCUCAUUGUUAAGGCAGCCGAGGGCAGGGGUCCUCAAAGCCAGUCUGUAGAACAAUCACUGAGGCAGUCUGAAAAAUGCCAACUUCCAGGCCCUGCCUCCACUCUGGAAUCUGAGCGUCGUCCCAGCAGAUCCUAAUCCUGAUUCAGAUGUUCCAAACACAGCCCUUUCAGGAAACAGGGGUAUAGUGGGAAGAGCACCUGGCUUAGAGUGCUGGGUUUUAAGGUUUAGGUUCAAAACCCGAGUUGUUGACCUAAGGCAAGUAAGCUGGAGUUUUCUACCUUGUAAAAUGCAGAUUAUGCUCUCUCGCAGGUUGGUGGGAGGAUUAAGGCACCAGGCGUAGCACACCCCAGUGCUCACGAACUGCGACCUGAGCAUGAGAGCAUCGGGCCAGCGAGCCUCCGGAAACCGGAGAAGUCAGUUCUGAAGAGCACCGGAGAGAGAAGAGAGGGCAAAGAGGCCCAGAAAUGACGCCCCCAGCGUCAGUCCACGGGUCCUGCAGGAGGAGGGGAGAGGGGUACCGAAAAAGGGCAAGAGGCCGCCCAGAGCUUCCCACUGACGUUCCGCCUCCCCAGCGCCAGCCUGUGGUAGGCGGUAGCUCCUGGCCUAACACUGCCAAUCCGUUAUUUUCACAGAGAAGAGUCCAUACGGACACAAGAAACCUUUGCAUCCACACCUACGUACAUAAAUACCACAGUUCUGCACGCACAGAAAAAGAUAAAAGGUGGGAGAAGUAGAGACAAGAGGACAAAGAAGGCAAAGUGGGACUGGAAAGUCCAACCCAGUUGCAUUUUCAAGUCACCCGGUGCUGGUCGCAGGCUGGCACUGUGCUACGCAGCCCGGAAAGGUGGAGGGAAGAGAAGCCUCAGGGUGCCUGGGACAGGUGGCUGGCCCGCUAGAUCGUGUCCAGGCUGAACACACGGUCUGUGCAAAGGCGGCAGGGGAGCGGGGCACCUGGGUGGCUCAGUCGGUUGAGCAUCCAACUUCGGCUCCUGAGUUCAAGCCCCCUAUCCGGCUAGCUGCUGUCAGCCUGGCAGCACAGAGCCUGCUUCGGAUCCUCUGCCCCCCUCUCUCUGCCCCUUCCCCC
rnacentral:lncRNA from 1 species